rnacentral:lncRNA from 1 species
CAAAUUUCAGGGCCAUCUGUAUUGUGGUGGUUUCUUUAUAGUCAAGGUUACCCACGUCAGGCCGGGGACAAACUCCACUUCUGGCCUUCCUGCCCAGCUAGCCUGAAGGAUGGGAAUCGGGCAGUCAGCGCCUUCUGGGAAACGGCCUCGUGAAGACACAGUCAGCCUUGAAAUUCAGGUGCCGAGACCAGACACAGGUCUGGGCAGAAAUAAAGAAAUUUGAACAGGUGUCCCAAGCGUUUCUGCCAGGAGGGGACUAGCCUUGAGAAACUCUUCAUUGAUUUUUUAAAUACUUGCCCAUUGGUCUUCACAAACCAUCGCGCUAUUCAGCUGCUGAAAUGCUGUGGCGUGCAAACUUUCUGUCUUCGAUUGCCGCCCACAUUCGAAAGCCGCGCAGAAAGCCCUGGUCCAGACAAACACGGAUUUGAACUUGAAACUGGAACCCCGUAACUAGGAAGAGAGGUGGAGCCGCUAUGACCAUGUGCCUCUGGGACCUGCUGCUCCAGUGCCUGUAAUUGAUCCAGGGCCCCAGUGCCAGCUCUGACAUCCCGCGGGCUGCUGCUCCCAGGCAAUGAUGGAGCAGAGGAACGACGCACCAAUGGCCCCGAGAACCUUCCAGACUGCACGGUGGUCUAGGAUGCUCCCACGAAAACUUCCUCCCCCUUCUCUUCUUCAUUCAGGGUCUGAUGGCCCUCCUAACCAUCUCUGGAUCCCUCCCUAUUUUUUUCACAUCUUUCCCCUAAUAAAAUCCUUCUGCUUUAAAUCUCAUUUUAGCCUCUUCUUUUAGGAGAACCAGGACUCACACAAAAGGUUUUGAUAAAGAGAUUAAUGGUGUAACAAGUGUAACAGGGAUCGCAUUUUUGGACCAUCCUUUGGUGAGAAGCCAGCUUCUCUCCUCGCGCUCUGUCCACCUUCCGGUCUGAGGCG